rnacentral:rRNA from 1 species
UGUGCUAAGGUAGCAUAAUAAUUAGUUAUUUGAUUGAUAACUUGAAUGAAAGGUUUGACGAAAAGAAAAUCUUCUCUCUACGAAAAUGAAAUUGAUAAAUAAAUAAAAAAGUUUAUUUUAAUUAAAAAGACGAUAAGACCCUAAAACCUUUACUACUUAAACUUUAUAACGUUUUUUACUGGGGCGGUAGAUCAUAUUAGCAUAAUCUUAUUGAACAUAAUGAAUGAAACCUUGAAUAACUUAUCAGAAUUUCAAAAAGGUACUUUAGGGAUAACAGCAUAAUUUUUAUUAAGAGUAAACCUAUCGACAUAAAAGAUUAUGACCUCGAUGUUGAAUUGAUAAUACUUUUCUAAGCAA